UGCGCCUUGCCAGCCCGCUCAGAAACUCAAAGGAAUUGACGGGGGCCCGCACAAGCGGAGGAGCAUGUGGUUUAAUUCGAUGAUACGCGAGGAACCUUACCUGGGCUCGAACGUAAGAUGACUGUAGGUGAAAGCUUACAUCUCUUCGGAGCAUUUUACGAGGUGCUGCAUGGUUGUCGUCAGCUCGUGCCGUGAGGUGUCGGGUUAAGUCCCAUAACGAGCGCAACCCUUGUCCUUAGUUACCAGCACGUUAUGGUGGGCACUCUAAGGAGACUGCCGGUGACAAACCGGAGGAAGGUGGGGAUGACGUCAAGUCAUCAUGGCCCUUACGGCCUGGGCUACACACGUGCUACAAUGGUCGGUACAAAGGGUUGCCAAGCCGCGAGGUGGAGCUAAUCCCAUAAAACCGAUCGUAGUCCGGAUCGCAGUCUGCAACUCGACUGCGUGAAGUCGGAAUCGCUAGUAAUCGUGAAUCAGAAUGUCACGGUGAAUACGUUCCCGGGCCUU
rnacentral:rRNA from 1 species